CACGUAGGGGGCAAGCGUUGUCCGGAUUUAUUGGGCGUAAAGAGCUCGUAGGCGGUUUCGUAAGUCGGGUGUGAAAACUCUAGGCUCAACCUAGAGACGCCACCCGAUACUGCGAUGACUAGAGUCCGGUAGGGGAGUGUGGAAUUCCUGGUGUAGCGGUGAAAUGCGCAGAUAUCAGGAGGAACACCAACGGCGAAGGCAGCACUCUGGGCCGGAACUGACGCUGAGGAGCGAAAGCGUGGAUAGCGAACAGG
rnacentral:rRNA from 1 species